CUCUCCUUUUGAUGGUGUAAGAAUCUUCAUAUAUCACCAAAACAGAAGAAUAUUGAUUGACACAAAGCUAGGAAGCUGGAUGCAGCUCUUUAAAGAAAAUCUCAGCCUUUUGUACGUUUGCUGAAUUGUUCUAUACUGAUUUGUGUCUGUGACAAUUACCUAGAUUAUGGAAAUUUGUGGGCUUAAGCAAGUGUUUUUCUUUUUAGUAUUCCUGUUUUCUCACCUAUGUAAUACUGGAAACUCUUAAAGCUGAAAAGCCCACUUCUCAGAAGUACACUAUGGAAUCAGCCAUUCGUUGAAUUUAUAGGUUAAAUGUUAAGUGAGACGGGGCUAUCCAGAGAUGGCAUAAAAAGGCAAAGCGUCUAGAAGUAGAGAUAUAAGGCACAAAUCCACAUGGUUUCAAGAACAUCCGGGCGGAAUUACUCAUGCAUGUUUCACUGACAAGCUAAACUGAGCUGUGGCUUUUCCCCCACAUUGUACCUACUCUAAAAUGUCCAGUAUAGUUUAUAUCUAUUAGGAUACUUCCAAUAACAUGUCCAUCAAAUUAGUUUAAACAGUAUGGGAAGUCAUUGACUCAUGUAACUGGACAUUAAGGAUUCACUGGGUUUCAGUUGGGGGACCAGAGGUGUUUCAUUGCUGAGCUGUGCUGAACACAAGCUUCAUCCUAAGGACAGUUUUCCUCCUAAUUACAAGAUAGCUGCCAGCUUCAAUCGGGGUCACAUGCUUUUUCCUCCACUUUCAGUGUAAAGGAGACUGGUUUUUUGAAGGGCCCUUAAAGACAAGGAAGCUUUUUCCCUGGAAGUCUCCAGCAGAAGCUCUUUGAGCCCCAUAGGCAGAUUUGGGUCACAUGCCCACUCAUGAACCAAUCAAAGGAGGAAGUUACGGAAUAACCUUUUCACCUGAGGGACAUGGGCUAUGUCAGAAAGGGAUGGACACCUAAACAAUAUCACAGUUCUAUUGGAAUGGAAGAAAGAACAGCAAAGGCUGAAGGUCACCAGUAAUGUUCACUCCAGAGAUCCUGAGAGGACAUGGCUAUACAGUAAGUAGAAAAACCAUCAUGACCAUUAACACAUAGUAAGACUGGGCAUUUGAAGCUAUCAAAUGGGUCAGAUAAAAGAUCUAUUUAUAAGAACCUGACCCUGACUCCUGAGGAACCCCAUGGCUGACAGUGUGCCCGGCAGACUCUUUCUGGUUCUGGCCGCCAGAGGCAAAUGCGCAGACCAAUAAGUGGGUUGAAGGAUGAAAGCAUACGGCUAGGAUCUCUUCACUUCUCAUGGAGAGGAAAGAGCAUGGUUACAAGUUGUCUGCACAUGGGGAAGUGAACAG
rnacentral:lncRNA from 1 species